UACCAGCUCUCCGAGUGGUGUGGAUGUUUAUUGGGCCUAAAGCAUCCGUAGCUGGCUGGGCAAGUCCCCUGUUAAAUCCACCGAUUUAAUCGUUGGAGUGCGGGGGAUACUGUUCGGCUAGGGGACGGGAGAGGCCGACGGUAUUUCCGGGGUAGGGGUGAAAUCCUAUAAUCCCGUGAAGACCACCAGUGGCGAAGGCUGUCGGCUAGAACGCGCCCGACGGUGAGGGAUGAAAGCUGGGGGAGCGAACCGGAUUAGAUACCCGGGUAGUCCCAGCUGUAAACGAUGCAGGCUAGGUGUUUGGGCGGCCACGUGCCGCUCUAGUGCCGCAAGGAAGCUGUUAAGCCUGCCGCCUGGGGAGUACGGCCGCAAGGCUGAAACUUAAAGGAAUUGGCGGGGAGCACCACAAGGGGUGAAGCUUGCGGUUU
rnacentral:rRNA from 1 species